GCACUGCUGCUUACGUUUAUAAUGGAGUCAUCAGUGGGUUUCAGACAGAGGCAACUCCUGUCCCUUAUGCACAUAUGUUUUGGUAUUUUCAAGACUGUUCCUGUCAUACCAAAGCCAAGGCUCACUGGCCCCUCAUGGUAUUGAAGCUUGCUCACCAAUUACUCAGAGUGGAUGAUACAUUUUCUGGAUUUUGUCAGGUGCCAUCUGUCUUGCCCUAAUCAUGGUAUGAAAGGUCACAGCAAAUUUAAUAACAAGCUGCUCAAGAAUGUGUCCCAGCUAGUGUCGCAACAUACCCCCUGGGUUCAUUCUUAAGACUGGGAAAACAUGGGGAAGGCAGGAAAUGGAAAUUCAAGACGAUGAGCAAACCGAGAACAAGAUGAAAGCAGGAGCCAACGUUUCAACAAGUGGACUUGUCUUCUUCAAGGCGACAUAUGCUUUCCUCGCCACAGUUACAGAUAUUAAGAAUCAAUUUGGUUGAUGCCCAGCCUGAUACUCCGUGAUUAUACUGAUAGAUAUGCAUACAAUUGUUUAUCCUUUUUCUGUGGAUUGCAUUUCACCUACUAACAAUUGAAAGAUAUCAGUCAACGUGAGAUGCAAAUAGUGUUGUA